UCGGAUGUAGCUCAAUUGGUAGAGUGCUUGCUUCUCAUGUACAAGGCCCUGGGUUCAAUCCCCAGCACCACAA
rnacentral:tRNA from 1 species